CCUAAUCCUACCUUGAGCAACAAACUUUAUAUUUUCGUCAUAUUCUUGCUGCUACGCGGAAAACGUCCGCCGCCCAGCAAUCCGGGAUCACUACUUCGAACUGGUCGAGAGAUUGAUCGCUGCUACCUCGCGAGAAGGUUGUUAAUCGGUUCGUUGCGGAACGUCCGUAACAGAGUGAUAGGAAGGGCGGAGAUGGAUUGGGAGGAUCAGAUUUUGGAGGACACUGUGCCUCUUGUUGGAUUUGUUCGAAUGAUUCUUCACUCUGGAAAAUUCAUGGUACCUUUUCGGGUUCAGCCAUUCAGGAGAAGAAAUGAAGUAGGAAAAUGGGUCCAAUUAGGUCAUCAAAUAUCAAUGCAAGAGACUAAGCUUUUAUAGUACUGUCGAACACUUUCAGCAAGUGUAUGGUAUUAAAAAUUGGAUAUCGGUGUGUGUGAUGUUGACGGACGAUAGGCUUCGCGACAACGUUCAUCGGGGAGUCUGUUGGAGGUGUUCGUCGGCGGUAAUUAGCAAUAUUUAAAUAUUAGUUCUGUUCUGCCUAUAUCACAACCCUAUCUCAUUAAAUUCAUCGGUGAAUUACUAUUUGUAGCAAUAAGUCUUUAUACACAAGGACGGAUGCAGAAAAUAGUUUUGGUAGAAGCUAUAUGUACAUUUUAAAUUUCGAAUUUGAUAUUCAAAAUACUAAUCUUAAUUACAUUUUCUCA